GGAGUUAGCCGGUGCUUCUUCUGUGAGUGAUGUCCUUCCUGCCGGCUAUUAACCCGCAGGCCUUCUUCCUCACUGAAAGUGCUUUACAACCCGAAGGCCUUCUUCACACACGCGGCAUGGCUGGAUCAGGGUUGCCCCCAUUGUCCAAUAUUCCCCACUGCUGCCUCCCGUAGGAGUCUGGGCCGUGUCUCAGUCCCAGUGUGGCUGAUCAUCCUCUCAGACCAGCUACGGAUCGUCGCCUUGGUGAGCCGUUACCUCACCAACCAGCUAAUCCGACAUAGGCUCAUCCGAUAGCGCGAGGCCCGAAGGUCCCCCGCUUUCCCCCCGUAGGGCCGUAUGCCGGUAUUAGCCUGGGGUUUCCCCCAGGGUUAUCCCCCCGACUACCGGGGCAGGAUUCCCUAUGCAUUACUCACCCGUCCGCCGCUCGCCACCAGGGAGCAAGCUCCCCGUGCUGCCGCUCGACUUGCAUGUGUUAGGCCUGCCGCCAGCGUUCAAUCUGAGCCAUAAUCAAACUCUGA
rnacentral:rRNA from 1 species